AAGCAACGCGAAGAACCUUACCAGGCCUUGACGUGCAGAGAACUUUCCAGAGAUGGAUUGGUGCCUUCGGGAACUCUGACACAGGUGCUGCAUGGCUGUCGUCAGCUCGUGUCGUGAGAUGUUGGGUUAAGUCCCGUAACGAGCGCAACCCUUGUCCUUAGUUACCAGCACGUUAUGUGGGCACUCUAAGGAGACUGCCGGUGACAAACCGGAGGAAGGUGGGGAUGACGUCAAGUCAUCAUGGCCCCUACGGCCUGGGCUACACACGUGCUACAAUGGUCGGUACAAAGGGUUGCCAAGCCGCGAGGUGGAGCUAAUCCCAUAAAACCGAUCGUAGUCCGGAUCGCAGUCUGCAACUCGACUGCGUGAAGUCGGAAUCGCUAGUAAUCGUGAAUCAGAAUGUCACGGUGAAUACGGUUCCCGGGCCUU
rnacentral:rRNA from 1 species